UUGGCCAGUGUAAGCUAGCUGUCCUGGUUCUGUCCCUUCUGAGCUCCUCAUGCUCCCCAGGUCCCCAUGCUGGCAGAACAGUACUAGAAGCUGAAAAACUGAAAUAUCCUUGUCUCUCUACAGCACUGCUCAGCAACAACUAAAAUAUCAAUGUGUUAGCAAUGUUGUUUUUCUCCUAAAGCCAAAACAUAGCAUCAAACCAUAUGCUAUGAAGACCAACUCUGUCCCAGCUGAAACCAGGACAAGAGCCAAGGAGCAAGCUGCAUCUAGAUCCUGCCAGAAGGUGAAUGUACUUUUGGUCUGGGAUUGCACGUCACUUCCUUCAUGCAGAAGGCAUCUGAAAUGAGCAUGUGAACCCAGGACUGAAUUUUUAAGGCACAUUUACAUACAUUACAACUUAGGCCACCCAUUCUAUAAUUAUCCCCUCCUCAGUAAUUUGGCAUUUCCCACCUCUGUACAUUGGUGGUAGGAAAUUUCCUUCUUCAUCAAAUCUACCGUUCAGGUGACUUUCUGAUGCUGUAGAUGUUCCUCCCUAAGGUCAGUAUCAUUCAGAUCUGACCUGGAAAUCAGACCAAGAACAAAAUCA
rnacentral:lncRNA from 1 species